rnacentral:rRNA from 1 species
UGCUUUAUACAUGCAAGUCGAACGAAGGCCCUAGCUUGCUAGGUGUCCUUAGUGGCGCACGGGUGAGUAACACGUGGGAACAUACCUUAUAGUACGGAAUAACUGCGGGAAACUGUAGCUAAUACCGUAUAUUCCAGCAAUGGGAAAGAUUUAUCGCUAUAAGAUUGGCCCGCGCAAGAUUAGCUUGUUGGUGAGGUAAAAGCUCACCAAGGCUUCGAUCUUUAGCUGGUUUGAGAGGAUGAUCAGCCACACUGGGACUGAGACACGGCCCAGACUCCUACGGGAGGCAGCAGUAGGGAAUAUUGGACAAUGGGGGCAACCCUGAUCCAGCAAUGCAGCGUGAGUGACGAAGGCCUUAGGGUUGUAAAACUCUUUCAUCGGUGAGGAUAAUGACAGUAGCCGAAGAAGAAGGACCGGCUAAUUCCGUGCCAGCAGCCGCGGUAAUACGGAAGGUCCUAGCGUUGUUCGGAAUUACUGGGCGUAAAGCGCAUGUAGGCGGAACAGAAAGUUAGAAGUGAAAUCCCUGGGCUCAACCUAGGAAUUGCUUUUAAAACUUCUGUUCUGGAAUUCAGGAGAGGAAAAUGGAAUUUCCAGUGUAGAGGUGAAAUUCGUAGAUAUUGGAAGGAACACCAGUGGCGAAGGCGAUUUUCUGGACUGAUAUUGACGCUGAGAUGCGAAGGCAUGGGUAGCAAACGGGAUUAGAUACCCCGGUAGUCCAUGCAGUAAACGAUGGGUGCUAGUCGUCGGACUUUUGUUCGGUGUCGUAGCUAACGCGUUAAGCACCCCGCCUGGGGAGUACGGUC